rfam:Felis catus breed Abyssinian Contig254990.1, whole genome shotgun sequence. [26-MAY-2016]
GUACUCACUUUGGCAGCACAUAUACUAAAAUUGGAAUGACACAGAGAAGAUUAGCACGGCCCCUGCACAAGGAUGACAUGCAAACUCAUGGAACUUCCAUAUUUUU